rnacentral:rRNA from 1 species
UACAGAGGGUGCGAGCGUUAAUCGGAAUUACUGGGCGUAAAGCGUGCGUAGACGGUUAUUUAAGUCGGAUGUGAAAGCCCCGGGCUCAACCUGGGAAUUGCAUUCGAGACUGAAUAGCUAGGGUGCGGUAGAGGGAAGCGGAAUUUCCGGUGUAGCGGUGAAAUGCGUAGAUAAUCGGAAGGAACAUCAGUGGCGAAAAGCGGCUUCC